rnacentral:tRNA from 1 species
GGGGUAGGUUGAAGCAAGAAGAAGCUUCUAACUUCUAACUUAAGCGGUUUAAGUCCGUUUCUACUCCU